rnacentral:tRNA from 1 species
GGCGAUGUAGCACAGUUGGUAAGCGCGGCUGCAUGUAACCCAGAGGUAAUGGGUUCAAGGCUCGUCGUUGCUA